GAUGAAGAACGCAUCGAAAUGCGAUAAGUAAUGUGAAUUGCAGAAUUCAGUGAAUCAUCGAAUCUUUGAACGCACAUUGCGCCCGCCAGCAUUCUGGCGGGCAUGCCUGUUCGAGCGUCAUUUCAACCCUCGCAGCCCAUCUGGGCAGCGGUGUUGGGGACCGGCACCACCGGCGAAGCCCUUAGGGACCCAGCCGGCGCCGCCCCCGAAAUACAGUGGCGGUCUCGCUGCAGCCUCCCUUGCGUAGUAGCACACCUCGCACCGGAGCGCAGCGCGGCCACGCCGUAAAACCCCCGACUUUCUGAGUUUGACCUCGAAUCAGGUAGGAAUACCCGCUGAACUUAAGCAUAUCAAUAAGCGGAGGA
rnacentral:misc_RNA from 1 species